rnacentral:rRNA from 1 species
GAUGAACGCUGGCGGCGUGCCUAAUACAUGCAAGUCGAACGCAUAGCGAAAGGUGCUUGCCCCUUUCAAGUGAGUGGCGAACGGGUGAGUAACACGUGGACAACCUGCCUCAAGGCUGGGGAUAACAUUUGGAAACAGAUGCUAAUACCGAAUAAAACUUAGUGUCGCAUGACACAAAGUUAAAAGGCGCUUCGGCGUCACCUAGAGAUGGAUCCGCGGUGCAUUAGUUAGUUGGUGGGGUAAAGGCCUACCAAGACAAUGAUGCAUAGCCGAGUUGAGAGACUGAUCGGCCAAAUUGGGACUGAGACACGGCCCAAACGCCUACGGGAGGCUGCAGUAGGGAAUCUUCCACAAUGGGCGAAAGCCUGAUGGAGCAACGCCGCGUGUGUGAUGAAGGCUUUCGGGUCGUAAAGCACUGUUGUAUGGGAAGAACAGCUAGAAUAGGAAAUGAUUUUAGUUUGACGGUACCAGACCAGAAAGGGACGGCUAAAUACGUG